UUCAUCCUUUUUGGAGAGUUUGAUCCUGGCUCAGGACGAACGCUGGCGGCGUGCCUAAUACAUGCAAGUCGAGCGGUCCC
rnacentral:rRNA from 1 species